CCUAAAGCUAAAGGUGGCCUAGGCUUUUGGGAUAUGCGCGCCCUCAACCAAGCAUUAUUGGCAAAACAAGCUUGGCAUUUGUUGGAUAAUCCAAGGAGCUUAUGUGCACGGUUACUUAAGGCGAAAUAUUUCCCCAAUGAGAACCUGUUGGAUACAGUUUUCUCGAGUAAUGCUUCGGCAGUGUGGAAGGGUAUUGAGUAUGGACUAGAACUAGUCAAGAAAUGGAUGAUAUGGAGAGUAUGUGAUGGUCGUUCUAUUCGUACUUGGCGUGAUCCAUGGAUUCCCCGUGGCACAUCUUUCCGCCCUAUAACACCAAGGAGGAAUUGUAGACUGAAACGGGUUUCAUAUUUUAUUGAUGAUCAUGGAGCUUGGAUAAAGGAAAAAGUGAAGGAGUUUUUUUGGCCCUUGGAUGUGAUACAUAUUUUAAUGAUUAGAACGUCGCCUCGCCUUCGGGAGGAUUUCUUGGCUUGGCAGCCGGAGCAUUUAGCUCUCAUCCAGAUGGGAAGCGUCCAUUGUGGAGGAAUAUAUGGCAGAUCAUAG
rnacentral:rRNA from 1 species